rnacentral:rRNA from 1 species
CCUACGGGUGACAGCAGUGAGGAAUAUUGGUCAAUGGACGAAAGUCUGAACCAGCCAAGUAGCGUGAAGGAUGACUGCCCUAUGGGUUGUAAACUUCUUUUAUAUGGGAAUAAAAUGUUCCUCGUGUGGGACUUAGUAUGUAUCAUAUGAAUAAGGAUAGGCUAAAUCUGUGCCAGCAGACGCGGUAAUACGGAGGAUCCGAGCGUUAUACGGAUUUAUUGAGUUUAAAGGGAGCGUAGGUGGAUUUUUAAGUCAGUUGUGAAAGUUUGCGGCUCAACCGUAAAAUUGCAGUUGAAACUGGCAGUCUUGAGUACAGUAGAGGUGAGCGGAAUUCGUGGUGUAGCGGUGAAAUGCUUAGAUAUCACGAAGAACUCCGAUUGCGAAGGCAGGUCACUGGACUGCAACUGACACUGAGGCUCGAAAGUGUGGGUAUCAAACAGGAUUAGAUACCCUAGUAGUC